UACGUAGGGUGCGAGCGUUGUCCGGAAUUACUGGGCGUAAAGAGCGCGCAGGCGGUCGUGCAAGUCGCGUGUGAAAGCCCCCGGCUCAACUGGGGAGGGUCACGCGAUACUGCUCGACUCGAAGGCAGGAGAGGGAAGUGGAAUUCCCGGUGUAGUGGUGAAAUGCGUAGAUAUCGGGAGGAACACCAGUGGCGAAGGCGACUUCCUGGCCUGUUUCUUGACGCUGAGGCGCGAAAGCUAGGGGAGCAAACGGG
rnacentral:rRNA from 1 species